AACGAACGCUGGCGGCAGGCUUAACACAUGCAAGUCGAACGAGAUCUUCGGAUCUAGUGGCAGACGGGUGAGGAACACGUGGGAACAUUCCUUUCAGUUCGGAAUAACGUUGGGAAACUAACGCUAAUACCGGAUACGUCCUUCGGGAGAAAGAUUUAUCGCUGAAAGAUUGGCCCGCGUCUGAUUAGCUAGUUGGUGAGGUAACGGCUCACCAAGGCUACGAUCAGUAGCUGAUCUGAGAGGAUGAUCAGCCACAUUGGGACUGAGACACGGACCAAACUCCUACGGGAGGCAGCAGUGGGGAAUAUUGGACAAUGGGCGCAAGCCUGAUCCAGCCAUGCCGCGUGAGUGAUGAAGGCCUUCGGGUUGUAAAGCUCUUUUGUCCGGGAAGAUAAUGACUGUACCGGAAGAAUAAGCCCCGGCAAACUUCGUGCCAGCCGCCGCGGUAA
rnacentral:rRNA from 1 species